AUUGAACGCUGGCGGCAGGCUUAACACAUGCAAGUCGAACGAGUGGCGGACGGGUGAGUAAUGCUUGGGAAUCUAGCUUAUGGAGGGGGAUAACUACGGGAAACUGUAGCUACUACCGCGUACCAUAGGAUGAGCCCAAGGGGGAUUAGGUAGUUGGUGAGGUAAAGGCUCACCAAGCCGACGAUCUCUAGCUGGUCUGAGAGGAUGACCAGCCACACUGGUACAGAGACACGGCCCAGACUACUACGGGAGGCAGCAGUGGGGAAGAUUGCGCAAUGGGGGCAACCUGACGCAGCCAUGCCGCGUGAAUGAAGAAGGCCUUCGGGUGUUAAAGUUCUUUCGGUAGCGAGGCGUUAACGACAGAAGAAGCACCGGCUAACUCCGUGCCAGCAGCCGCGGUAAUUC
rnacentral:rRNA from 1 species